UGAAAUGAAUAUACUCAAUUGCUAUAUCUUGUGC
rnacentral:sRNA from 1 species